rnacentral:rRNA from 1 species
AAACCGUGUACGUACAAGCAGUGGGAGCACGCUUAGGCGUGUGACUGCGUACCUUUUGUAUAAUGGGUCAGCGACUUAUAUUCUGUAGCAAGGUUAACCGAAUAGGGGAGCCGAAGGGAAACCGAGUCUUAACUGGGCGUUAAGUUGCAGGGUAUAGACCCGAAACCCGGUGAUCUAGCCAUGGGCAGGUUGAAGGUUGGGUAACACUAACUGGAGGACCGAACCGACUAAUGUUGAAAAAUUAGCGGAUGACUUGUGGCUGGGGGUGAAAGGCCAAUCAAACCGGGAGAUAGCUGGUUCUCCCCGAAAGCUAUUUAGGUAGCGCCUCGUGAAUUCAUCUCCGGGGGUAGAGCACUGUUUCGGCAAGGGGGUCAUCCCGACUUACCAACCCGAUGCAAACUGCGAAUACCGGAGAAUGUUAUCACGGGAGACACACGGCGGGUGCUAACGUCCGUCGUGAAGAGGGAAACAACCCAGACCGCCAGCUAAGGUCCCAAAGUCAUGGUUAAGUGGGAAACGAUGUGGGAAGGCCCAGACAGCCAGGAUGUUGGCUUAGAAGCAGCCAUCAUUUAAAGAAAGCGUAAUAGCUCACUGGUCGAGUCGGCCUGCGCGGAAGAUGUAACGGGGCUAAACCAUGCACCGAAGCUGCGGCAGCGACGCUGAUGCGUUGUUGGGUAGGGGAGCGUUCUGUAAGCCUGCGAAGGUGUGCUGUGAGGCAUGCUGGAGGUAUCAGAAGUGCGAAUGCUGACAUAAGUAACGAUAAAGCGGGUGAAAAGCCCGCUCGCCGGAAGACCAAGGGUUCCUGUCCAACGUUAAUCGGGGCAGGGUGAGUCGACCCCUAAGGCGAGGCCGAAAGGCGUAGUCGAUGGGAAACAGGUUAAUAUUCCUGUACUUGGUGUUACUGCGAAGGGGGGACGGAGAAGGCUAUGUUGGCCGGGCGACGGUUGUCCCGGUUUAAGCGUGUAGGCUGGUUUUCCAGGCAAAUCCGGAAAAUCAAGGCUGAGGCGUGAUGACGAGGCACUGCGGUGCUGAAGCAACAAAUGCCCUGCUUCCAGGAAAAGCCUCUAAGCAUCAGGUAACAUCAAAUCGUACCCCAAACCGACACAGGUGGUCAGGUAGAGAAUACCAAGGCGCUUGAGAGAACUCGGGUGAAGGAACUAGGCAAAAUGGUGCCGUAACUUCGGGAGAAGGCACGCUGAUAUGUAGGUGAAGUCCCUCGCGGAUGGAGCUGAAAUCAGUCGAAGAUACCAGCUGGCUGCAACUGUUUAUUAAAAACACAGCACUGUGCAAACACGAAAGUGGACGUAUACGGUGUGACGCCUGCCCGGUGCCGGAAGGUUAAUUGAUGGGGUUAGCGCAAGCGAAGCUCUUGAUCGAAGCCCCGGUAAACGGCGGCCGUAACUAUAACGGUCCUAAGGUAGCGAAAUUCCUUGUCGGGUAAGUUCCGACCUGCACGAAUGGCGUAAUGAUGGCCAGGCUGUCUCCACCCGAGACUCAGUGAAAUUGAACUCGCUGUGAAGAUGCAGUGUACCCGCGGCAAGACGGAAAGACCCCGUGAACCUUUACUAUAGCUUGACACUGAACAUUGAGCCUUGAUGUGUAGGAUAGGUGGGAGGCUU